CAGUCGCCACGGUAAAACGUAGGUGGCAAGCGUUGUCCGGGAUUAUUGGGCGUAAAGGGCUCGCAGGCGGCUUCUUAAGUCUGAUGUGAAAGCCCCCGGCUCAACCGGGGAGGGUCAUUGGAAACUGGGAAACUUGAGUGCAGAAGAGGAGAGUGGAAUUCCACGUGUAGCGGUGAAAUGCGUAGAGAUGUGGAGGAACACCAGUGGCGAAGGCGACUCUCUGGUCUGUAACUGACGCUGAGGAGCGAAAGCGUGGGGAGCGAACAGGAUUAGAUACCCCCGUAGUCCCUGUCUCUUAUAC
rnacentral:rRNA from 1 species